GUGAAUCAUCGAAUCUUUGAACGCAAAUUGCACUCCCUGGUAUUCCGGGGAGUAUGCCUGUUUGAGGGUCGUUAGAAUCAAAAAUCGAUGCGUCGCUCUUUUUUUUAAGGGAGGUCGCGUCGGAAUUGAGCCGUCUUUCACAUGUUAAUUCAUGUCAAAGUGGCUUGAAAUUCAUCCAUCCGGUUCGAUUGAAGCGUAUUUAAGAAAAAUCUUGAUGGGGAAAGCGAGAUGACGUAA
rnacentral:misc_RNA from 1 species